AUCCCUAAUUUGCCUUUUCAUGAACAGAUUUAUUCUUUUGAGGAAGAUUACAUAAAAGGUAGCAGACAAGGUUUUCAGCAACAUCGAUGGUGUGCGCUGCAGCUAUUUUCUGGUAGCUAUAUAGAACAUCUAUCCAUUAUUCCUGUGUCCACAUAUGUUCUGAGCACUAAAAAUAUAUAAGUGCAAACAGGAGUACAACAUCUUGUCUAAUGCUCUUAACAACAUUGUAUUGCCAGUACCAAUCUUGAGAAAAUACCGUUGUUAAAUGUCAUUCUGUUGUUAAUGGAAGUUUAGAGCGGGUUAUUUAUGGAAUAAUCCGAUAAAAUGUCAAGAAACUGUAAUAAAACUCAAGAAGCAUAUAUUUGGUAGGGAUGACAAAUUAAAAGGACAGUUGCUGAAAAUUUUUAUUAUUUCUCCCGUCUUGCAAUUUUUGGACCAGUGCACCUUUUUUCUGCCACUAUAGACCGGCUUAAUGUUUUGAUUCCUGUUUACUAGAAAACCUUCAAGGUCAUGGUCUUCUGAAAAGCUACCAUGUUUUUUGUGACCACAGAACAGGCAGGUCAAAAUUGAAAUUAAAUAUAUAAGAGAAAUAUUAGCAAUAAAUAUCCAAAAAAAAAAAAAAAACUGACAACUCACGCACCCUCCGUUGCCAUACGUUGAAAGUUAAUUUGUAGUCGUCAGUUUGAAAGAGAUAAUACAGCUAUUAUCAAGAAAGUUUAACAUAUUAGCCAACAUCAUAAGACCAUUCAGACAAUUACAAAACAAUGUCAAAUUGGCAAUCUGAUGAUGAUAUGAAAGCUAGGUAUACAUCGAAGAUGGUUCAAACUGAAAUACAUAAAUGUAAGAUAGCCGCAAAAAGCUUAAACAGUUACUUUUCUAAUCAGAUUUCUUUCGGUUUAUAGACAUGGGAGGCUUUAUACUCUUGGUUUUUCUUCUUUUGUUGCUCCAUCAAGAAGACAAGCAACUAGAGUACUAUAUGGUGCAUAUCGCAUCAUCUGACUGAUUGCGGCAUACUGAUCCUUCAAAUAGUGUUAUCUUGUUUUGCUGAAGGUUGCUCUUAAUUCUUGAAGUGGAAUUCGUCUGAAUAAUAUCAAUGGAGCAUACUGAUAUUGGCCAUUUUUAUCAGCUGGACCAGGUCAUGACGAGACACCAACUCGAAAUAAACCAUCUCGUAUCCUUUUUCUCGCACCAUCAUCAUUUGGACUUGCAGUCAUAAAUAGCAUCACCGUAAGUAUAGCGUACAGGUUUGGGUCCACAGCCUUGAAGAGCAAUAAGUCUGAGACCGGUCAAAAAGUACCACCGAUGACCACACUGUCACUGUUUCCGUGGAAGGUUCCCAUUGGGUCGCCCUCUCUAUCCGCUUCCCUUUAUAAGAUCAAUGGUGGGGUUGUUCCAUACGAAUUCGUCUGGGAAAAUUUCUGUCCGAACUCAUGGUUCAGGGACCCUUUCUCACGAGGAGAUUGAUUAGCCCAAUAUUGUUAAGAAAGUCUAAAAUCCCAAAUCAUCUGGUGGCCUCGGGUUGCAGCUUCCUCUCAUUGUUUGGUUCUCGGACAUGCUGAAGAACCAGCUCGAGUCCCUUAACUCAGCGUUCGAGGAUCCAAACUUCACAAUUUGUUCCACAACUAAGCGGUCCUGGUUGCAUUUUAACGGGUAAACGCCUUGAUAAUGGGAUUCGUAUCCCAGAGAUUGGAUUGCGUACUAGAUCAUGUGAAACCGAAACUAAGCUGUUGUGAAAACUUUCUUUCAGAAUGAUCAAGUCUUGAAUGAAAUAGCUCACUCAUUAGUGACUCCCUCCUUGCUUAUUUGGUUGAGGACGCAAUCCAAUCUCUGGGAUGCCAAUACCAUUGUCAAGGUGUUUACCUCAUGAAAUGCAACCUUUGUGGAAGAUAUUCUGAAGUUUGGAUCCUCCAACGUCGAGUUACGGACUCGAGCCGGUUCUUAAGCUUGUCCGGGAACCAAACAACGAGAGGAAGCUGCAAACCGAGGCCGCCAGAUGAAAACUUUCUUAACAAUCUUGAGCAAAUCAAUCUCCUGGUGAGAAAGGGUCCCUGAACCAUGAGGCAGGACAGAAAUAUUCCCAGACGAAUUCGGCGGUAGUGUAAGCAGAGACAUACACACACACACACCACCAACCCAAACAGAUGGCUAUUUUUUGACCUCUACAGUCUCAGACUUGGAGGAGCUCUCGUCAGUUCUUUCUGGCGGCCACACAUAUUCCAUUCACGGACAACAAAACAAUGUCCAAUUCUUUUCUUUUCUCCUCCCACCAACACGAACGUCAUUCUUCUCCAUCCAUCCUUCCACAUGGCGGUGGCUUGCUUGAAGGUGUUUGAAGAGAAGAAUUCCAUGGGAGCUUGAGCUAGCUUGAAGGCCACAAGGGAGUGCCUUUCCUUGUAUCAUUUUAAGUCAAGACUUGAAAUUAUUUUAAUUUUAAACAAUUUUGAGAUGUACUGUUGGGAUACAAUCUAGUUUUAGGUUGUAGACGUUUUGUUUGUUGGAUUAUAUUAAUCUGUUGGUUUUCUU